CCCGCUCAGAAACUCAAAGGAAUUGACGGGGGCCCGCACAAGCGGAGGAGCAUGUGGUUUAAUUCGAUGAUACGCGAGGAACCUUACCUGGGCUCGAACGUAAGAUGACUGUAGGUGAAAGCUUACAUCUCUUCGGAGCAUUUUACGAGGUGCUGCAUGGUUGUCGUCAGCUCGUGCCGUGAGGUGUCGGGUUAAGUCCCAUAACGAGCGCAACCCUACCUUUAGUUGCCAUCAGGUUAAGCUGGGGACUCUAAAGGAACUGCCUACGCAAGUAGUGAGGAAGGCGGGGAUGACGUCAAAUCAGCACGGCCCUUACGUCCAGGGCUACACACGUGCUACAAUGGCCGAUACAGAGGGCAGCUACCUGGUGACAGGAUGCAAAUCUCCAAAGUCGGUCUCAGUUCGGAUCGGAGUCUGCAACCCGACUCCGUGAAGCUGGAAUCGCUAGUAAUCGCGCAUCAGCCAUGGCGCGGUGAAUACGUUCCCGGGCCUU
rnacentral:rRNA from 1 species